rnacentral:tRNA from 2 species
GCCUUCGUAGCUGAGUUGGUUACAGCGUCCGACUUUUAGAACUGCGGUUCGAAAUCGGGCGAUCACGGGUUCGAGCCCCGUCGAAGGCU